AGUCGAACGGGUUAAGACCCGUGGCGAAUAGCUCAGUAACACGUAGAUAAACUACCCUAUGGACUGUGAUAACCUCGGAAAACUGAGGGUAAUAACAGAUAGUACUCCUACGCUGGAAUGCAGUGAGUACGAAAUGCUCCGGUGCCAUAGGAUGUGACUGCGGCCGAUUAGGUAGACGGUGGGGUAACGGCCCACCGUGCCGAUAAUCGGUACGGGUGGUGAGAGCCAGAGCCCGGAGAUGGAAUCUGAGACAAGAUUCCAGGCCCUAUGGGGCGCAGCAGGCGCGAAAACUUUACAAUGCGCGAAAGCGCGAUAAGGGGACCCCGAGUGCGGGGGCAUAACGUCCUCGCUUUUGUAUAUCGUAAGAAGAUACACGAAUAAGGGCUGGGCAAGACCGGUGCCAGCCGCCGCGGUAAUACCGGCAGCUCGAGUGAUGAUCACUAUUAUUGGGCCUAAAGCGUCCGUAGCCGGUCGAACAAGUCCUUCGGUAAAUCCACUCGCUCAACGAGUGGGCUCUCGAAGGGAAACUGUUCGACUUGGGGCCGGGAGAUCUGAGGGGUACGUCUAGGGUAGGAGUGAAAUCCUGUAAUCCUAGACGGACCGCCGGUGGCGAAAGCGCCUCAGAAGAACGGACCCGACGGUCAGGGACGAAAGCUAGGGUCUCGAACCGGAUUAGAUACCCGGGUAGUCCUAGCCGUUAAACGAUGCUCGCUAGGUGU
rnacentral:rRNA from 1 species